rnacentral:rRNA from 1 species
AGAGCGAACGCUGGCGGCAGGCUUAACACAUGCAAGUCGAGCGCCCCGCAAGGGGAGCGGCAGACGGGUGAGUAACGCGUGGGAACGUACCUUUGGUUCGGAACAACACAGGGAAACUUGUGCUAAUACCGGAUAAGCCCUUACGGGGAAAGAUUUAUCGCCGAAAGAUCGGCCCGCGUCUGAUUAGCUAGUUGGUGAGGUAACGGCUCACCAAGGCGACGAUCAGUAGCUGGUCUGAGAGGAUGAUCAGCCACAUUGGGACUGAGACACGGCCCAAACUCCUACGGGAGGCAGCAGUGGGGAAUAUUGGACAAUGGGCGCAAGCCUGAUCCAGCCAUGCCGCGUGAGUGAUGAAGGCCCUAGGGUUGUAAAGCUCUUUUAACGGGGAAGAUAAUGACGGUACCCGUAGAAUAAGCCCGGCUAACUUCGCGCCAGCAGCCGC